UUUUCCGUAGGGUAAAGAGGUGGACUGUAGAACCGCUUACCAGCAUUGAAUGUCAGAAGAGCAGGAUUUGGCAAAGGGGAUGAAAUCAGAUUUGGAUCCAUGAGAGAGGGGCAACUCUGGGACAGGCCAGCGGUAUCUCAAAGGCUGAAGGAUCUCAGAAUGUGAUCUGCGGAAAGUCUGUGAAGACAGAGCUCUAAGGAAGGAACAGUAGCCAUGGGUAAGGACUACAGCCAUGCACUAGGGUAAGGACACUCAGGGAAAGUAGGCAGCAUGAGAUGGUCAGAAGCUAACAUCAGGGCCUGGGGUACAGUAACAUUUAGGACAGGGUUUUCAAACUGUGAAUAGGUAAUGAAAUCAACAAGAGAUCUCCACCAGCAUUUAAAAAUAGUAUAAAAAUAUUAAUGUGCUUUACAUAUAAUUUGGGUAAAGAUCUUUUCCUGUACCUUUUUUUUUUUUUUUUUUUUCCUAGAGGUGACAAGCAGGCGCUCGCUCAGGGACCUAG
rnacentral:lncRNA from 1 species